rnacentral:rRNA from 1 species
UAAGGUGGUUAUAGCAGUGGGGUUCCACCUCUUCCCAUUCCGAACAGAGAAGUUAAGCCCACUAACGCCGAUGGUACUGCGCAAGUGGGAGAGUAGGUAGCCGCCGUUU